CGAGCGAGAAGUGAGAAUCGCCCUCGAUCAGACGCGUCUACGUAUACGCACAAUGGCAGUGUUGAAUCAAGAACGACAUUGAUGUCGAAUCAUUUCCCAAGCAGUGACACGGCAAUGGCGAUGUGUAACAUCGGGGCCCAAUCAUGAGCGUGAGCUCGGAGGGUAUUUUUAACGUGAAACAAUUGAGUGGCACGUUUAAUGAAAAGUCCCCAGAUUCACCCAACAAGCCUCACGAUCCUGAUCGUGUCACUGUUCCCUAGACUUCCCUAGAAUUUUUCUAUUUUCUGUAGAACCGACAGAACUGUAGAUGUACCGUGAGUGUACGGUUGACGAACACUAUGAAGUGAAUUUUGUUCGAUAAGAUUUCGAGCAAGCAUUGGGACAAUAGUGCAACGCGUGCGAUGACAAAAAAUCCUCCUAUCACCCUAAUCAAAAAUAAGUAUUUGCGCGCGAUGCAAUCUCGAUUUACCAUGAGUUUCUCCUCGACCGCCGUCGACUCUUCCCGCGGGAAUUCCGGCAUGGAAGACAUGUUGUACACCGCGUUCGAGUCCUGCAUGGACGGCGACAUGGUGUUUCGCGGCUCGUGCACGUGCACGCAACCGACCGAGAACCCGUUCAACCGUUCGCCGUACUCAUUGCGAACAACGGCUGCGGCGGCGGUGGCGACGACGGCGGGUCACGUGUUGACUUCGGCGGUGACGGUGUCCGAACUGCCCCCACGGUGUCACGCGAAAACUCGACCACAGCGGUUUUCACGCACCACUUCGCGGUAGCCACUAGCAACUGCGCAACGUACACACGGUGUGUCUAGAAACUACACGAAACCCUUUAGACCCUUUGAACUUGCAGUCGCCGGGAUUAUACGUGGGCGCACUUUUGCACGCACUCACUACGCCCGUGCACAGAGUGCUCGCUUGUAAACAAUGGUAAUCGAUAGCACAACGUGUAUGACAACAAUAUUGUAUUCGACAAUUAGCGAUGAUCGAAUAACAUUGACCAAGUGUUACGUGCACCUUUUCGUUCCAAACAGUGCCGCGUUAAGUUAUGUAGCCGCCUCGAGGUAAAUUAAAAUAUGCCACCCUUAAGAAAAUUACAAUUCAAAA